UAAAGAUGGCAGAAUUCUGAUAUGACGUCAUUGUUUUAGAACUAUCCCGUUUUGAAACUACGGUGCUCGACAUUGUUCAAUGUUCCAAUAAAUCAACACAAUCUACUUUGACGAGUUUUCAAAUUGCCAGCGUCUUGAAACUAAAAUUGAGAUCAUGUUUACUGUGCUAAUGACCAUACCAAAAAAAAAAAGAGAAAGCGAGCAAUGUGAAAAACAGUGAACGUAGGAAAACCAGGAAGUUGUGUUCCACUCUGCCCCGGUGCUUUCCUGCAGUCGACCAGAACCAGCAGUAAAGCGGUACCAGGAGGCGUUUGACCCGGGGACUCCGGGAGGGUGGAGGGGAACGUGCUAGCUUUGUCCUGUUGGCCGCAAGAAAUAUCAAACAGUUUAUCAUUAAACCAAAUAUUGUAUUA